GGCAUCCUACGGGGGGCAGCAGUGAGGAAUAUUGGUCAAUGGGCGGAAGCCUGAACCAGCCAAGUCGCGUGAGGGAAUAAGGCCCUACGGGUCGUAAACCUCUUUUGCCGGGGAGCAAGGGCCGGGACGAGUCCCGGUCCGGAGAGUACCCGGAGAAAAAGCAUCGGCUAACUCCGUGCCAGCAGCCGCGGUAAUACGGAGGAUGCGAGCGUUAUCCGGAUUUAUUGGGUUUAAAGGGUGCGUAGGCGGGCUUUUAAGUCAGCGGUGAAAAUUCGGGGCUCAACCCCGUCCGGCCGUUGAAGCUG
rnacentral:rRNA from 1 species